rnacentral:rRNA from 1 species
AUUGAACGCUGGCGGCAGGCCUAACACAUGCAAGUCGAACGGUAACAGGAAGAAGCUUGCUUCUUUGCUGUCGAGUGGCGGACGGGUGAGUAAUGUCUGGGAAACUGCUUGAUGGAGGGGGAUAAUUACUGGAAACGGUAGCUAAUACCGCAUAACGUCGCAAGACCAAAGAGGGGGAGCGUCGGGCCUCUUGCCAGCGGCUGUGCCCAGAUGGGAUUAGCUAGUAGGUGGGGUAACGGCUCACCUAGGCGACGAUCCCUAGCUGGUCUGAGAGGAUGACCAGCCACACUGGAACUGAGACACGGUCCAGACUCCUACGGGAGGCAGCAGUGGGGAAUAUUGCACAAUGGGCGCAAGCCUGACGCAGCCAUGCCGCGUGUAUGAAGAAGGCCUUCGGGUUGUAAAGUACUUUCAGCGGGGAGGAAGGGAGUAAAGUUAAUACCUUUGCUCAUUGACGUUACCCGCAGAAGAAGCACCGGCUAACUCCGUG